ensembl:snRNA U6 U6 spliceosomal RNA
AAUGUUUAAAAGAAAAUUUAUAUCUUAUAUUGGGAUGAUACAGAAAUUAACAUGGCCCCUACACAAAGAUGACACACAAAUUCAUGAAAUGUUUCAUAUUUCA